CCUUCUAUCCACAGUGUCUCCAUUCAGCCUUGAUGUCACCUGAUAAAAUGAUUUUUCAUAUCAAGUGAGCUACCGUAAUGGGAUCUGGGAUGCAUUUUCUGACUCACCCCUCACAAUGGGACGAAGUGAGCAGAUCGAUUGUUUGGGCCCAUUCAACACAAAUUAAAACUUCCUAGGAUAAUCUCUACAAACGCUGCCUCCGCAGCAUGGAUACUAAGCAUAAGGAAUAUUGGCUGUUUUAUAAACAUACCUUCCCGCGAUUGGAUGGUACAGCAUGGUACAACACUCAAAUGGUCUCACAAUUGCAACGUUCCCGAUUGCCAAUCAUCCAUUCAUACGAUAUUGUUCAACGAAAUUUUCAGCGAAAUUUGAAUUUAAAAAGAAAUAUUAUUUAAAUAAUACAAUACAAAUACACAAAUUGAAAAAAAAACUAGCAAUUAAAAAUAUCAAUAGUUGUGUUUACAGAAACCGUUCAAAAAUAAAAUUUAUCGUCUUUUUUGUCUUCUCAUUUCACACUUCCGAAAUCACAUCACACACAUUAAAAUUGAUUAAUAUAAAUUAAAAAUUACUAAGUUUGACUAGAUUUAAAUGUCUUUUUGAACAAUCGUUUUUUUAUAAUGUGUUUGAAUAAUAGAACCUUUCCAUUGCAAAUGAAAUAAUUUUACCAACUGUGUUAGAAAAGGGAGUAAGUCCAUUUGUGGUAAAUAGAAUGUGAGCGUCUGGAAGUUUUAUCAGAGACUUCCGUCGAAACCAGUUCUUUCCAGUGCGAUCUUCCAAACUGCCCUUCUCAAAACUGCCGGUAAGACUAAUUUUAAGUUGGGUGCCAAAGUGUAACUGCCGGUUGCUCAGCGGGGAGCCUUCCUGAAACUCCCUGACAUCAAUACACCUCAGGGUCGGCAUGCUUAAAGGGCUAUUUCGAGACACAAGGAAUGACCGCACUGAAGCAUAGAAAAACUCACAUUAUUUGGUAUUGCUGACAACAUUUAUUCGGACUUUUCCGACACUCUUCCACACUGUCCCACUUUCUUAUACUACGCUAACCUGAGUUCCACGGUAUUCACUUCUUUGCCGCCAAUCAGCGGCUCUUCACGCAACGGAAUGGGUUCGGUCCUCCUAAUAGCGUCCUCUGCAGGUUCGUACGCCAUCCGGAGCCUCUCCAAGCGUGUUGACGGACUCGGAUUUUGGCUCGUAUCGAUGGAACUGCCGUUCCCGACUUGACACUCCUUUCCCGCCAAUUAGCGGCUAGCACUCCUCCACACUCAGACUUGGUGAUGGGAUGCAAUGGCGUCCUCUCCAGACUCAUGCGCCAUCCAGGAGCCUCUUCGAGUAUGUUGACGGACUCGGUCGUCGGCCUGCAUCUCCGGAACUGUCCCCAAGGGAAAGGGGGGGGGGUCAUCAACUUGGUUUUGUACCACCGAAUGGCGCGGCGCACUCUAUAGUUCCGGAAUUUACUAUUUCGUUCGGUAGAUUAAGGAGGACGAUCCUCUACCUUUCGCCAUCACCGUGUUAC